GUGGGGAAUCUUCCACAAUGGACGAAAGUCUGAUGGAGCAACGCCGCGUGAGUGAAGAAGGGUUUCGGCUCGUAAAGCUCUGUUGUCGGGGACGAAUGUGCAGUAUUUGAAUAAAGUACUGUAAUGACGGUACCUGACGAGGAAGCCACGGCUAACUACGUGCCAGCAGCCGCGGUAAUACGUAGGUGGCAAGCGUUGUCCGGAAUUAUUGGGCGUAAAGGGAGCGCAGGCGGGACGGUCAGUCGGUCUUAAAAGUGCGGGGCUCAACCCCGUGAUGGGAUCGAAACUAUCCUUCUUGAGUGCAGGAGAGGAAAGUGGAAUUCCUAGUGUAGCGGUGAAAUGCGUAGAUAUUAGGAGGAACACCAGUGGCGAAGGCGACUUUCUGGACGAUGUCUGACGCUGAGGCGCGAAAGCUAGGGGAGCGAACGGGAUUAGAUACCCUGGUAGUCC
rnacentral:rRNA from 1 species